UACGUAGGGAGCGAGCGUUAAUCGGAAUUACUGGGCGUAAAGCGUGCGCAGGCGGUUUUGUAAGACAGGCGUGAAAUCCCCGGGCUUAACCUGGGAACUGCGCUUGUGACUGCGAGGCUAGAGUGUGUCAGAGGGAGGUGGAAUUCCACGUGUAGCAGUGAAAUGCGUAGAGAUGUGGAGGAACACCGAUGGCGAAGGCAGCCUCCUGGGAUAACACUGACGCUCAUGCACGAAAGCGUGGGGAGCAAACAGG
rnacentral:rRNA from 1 species